UCUAUAGUUCCGCAAAAUUUCUCAUUCUCUCUCUCUCUCUCUCUCUCUCUCUCUCUCUUCCUAUUCUCCACAAGUUCUGUUCCCAAAAGAUCUCACUACUUUUUAGAAAUCUUGGAAAUCUUGAAUCUCCAUCUUUUUUUCAACCAACCCUAAUAAUGAAGAAAUCCGGACUAUUCGCCGCUUCCGUCGCCGCCGCAUCCGCCACCGCCGUCACCGUUUCAUCUACCGCUCACAACUCUCAUAAUCAGGACGGUACUGCUGAGAGAAGAGGCCGUAACGAAAACUCUUCGUCGGAGAAAUUCGCUCCAAGAUUUGAUGGGUUGCGUUUCAUUGAAACGCUUGUAACUGCUCAUAGAUGAAAGGGGUUUUCUCUAUUUGGAAUUUUCUUCCUCACGUGUUCCUUCGUCUAUUUGGUUUUGUGUUGGUUGAAGAAGAUUUCACUUGUUGGAAAUAUUUUCUUUUAGUUUUUUUUUCUAAUCUUUAGGAUUAAUUGCUGAAAUAGAGAUAAACAAAUUGUAAUGUCACAGAAUUAUUAUUAUUAUUUGGUGCUUUUCUUUUUUGUGACCCUUUGUGGGAAAUAAAAAAUUGAAGUAUAAAAGAUUUUGGGUGGUUGAUUUGAGCUUAUGUUUUAAUAUAUUUUAAUUAUUUAUGGAAAUUUUGUUUUUGUUUUUUUGUUCUUUAUGUUGAAGUUAAUAAAGUGGUACACUGUCCACUUGUAGGUCCAAAGAAAGUUCAUAAUUGCUUGUUGUCAA